AAGGACUGAAGAAUGUUGGUUGAAAGGGUGAAGGAACGACGGAUGGAUGCCCUUCCUAAAUAGUAGGGGCGACACGCGCGAACGGAUCCGUGGCAUCCCGGCGUUAUGUCUCAGUGACAGCCAUGGCUGCUGGAGCGUUGCAGCCAGGGCUGGGGCAUCAUGAUGCUUCCGUGUUUCAUGCCGCAUUCUAAAGGCUGCUGUGUGACAUCAGAGCCACCGGAUGCAUGCACACAGAGAGGUGUCCUGCGGAUGGCAGAUUCUGUGAGUCCUCUUUUGCAUAAAACAUAAGCCAAAUAUUCGUCUGAUAGACGAUUUUAACAAAUCUGUGGAUCGGGGGAGAUAAAAAGGCAAUCGAUUGAGUUGCGAAUAUGCCAUUGGAAGAAAGAAAAGCAACUUGUCAUUGAUGGCAUUGUGACACUUCCACACCACCUGCGGUGACACUUCAUAAUCGAAUCCCCAACCCUUCACUGUCAAAUCUGAAGAGCAGCUAGUGGCUUCAUCUGAAACUGGUAAAGCACAUGUCAAGUCCGAAUGAAUUCCUUGCAGGCCAAGGCAUCUGAAGAUGGCGUCUCUGGCUCAGUGGCUCUUUUGUUUGUUGAAGAUAGGAUAUUGGGUGACAUUUGAUUCAGAUAAUUGGGUCAGAACUCAGCUCUGUGAUGUCCUGUGCAGCUCUGGUCUCCUGUGACUUCUCAAUGCAGGUGCUGAAGAGGACCUCAGCAAACAAAAAAACUGAGGCAGACAGACAGGCCAACAAAGCUAAUUAGAGUGGUUGCCAAGCGUUCCAGAACAUGUGGGAGAAAAU
rnacentral:lncRNA from 1 species